UACAGAGGGUGCGAGCGUUAAUCGGAAUUACUGGGCGUAAAGGGCGCGUAGGCGGUAUAUUAAGUUAGAUGUGAAAUCCCUGGGCUUAACCUAGGAACUGCAUCUAAGACUGAUAAGCUAGAGUGCGGUAGAGGAUAGUGGAAUUUCCGGUGUAGCGGUGAAAUGCGUAGAUAUCGGAAGGAACACCAGUGGCGAAGGCGGCUAUCUGGACUGACACUGACGCUGAGGCGCGAAAGCGUGGGGAGCAAACAGG
rnacentral:rRNA from 1 species